ensembl:lncRNA
CUUUUGUUGGGCAGGAGGUGCUGGGCUCAUCCUGAUGGGCAGGGAUGGGGAUGGGGAGCCCCGCGGUGCGGUGCGGGACGCUGCGCACCCACUCUGAAGUUAUUAAUACAAUUCACAAAUGCUUCGAGAUCAAAUCCCCGUGUCAGCUUGGCUCAUCAAUUCUUCAGCAACUUCUCUUUGCCAGUCCCUUUGAAGGGAUUAUUUAAAUAUGCGCAGCGCUCUUCAGACAUCCCAUAAAUAAAUCUGUGUCAUGAGGGGUCACGCCGCAUCCGGCGUGCUUCUGGUCUGCAAAUAGCGCAUCCGUGCUCCUGCCUGGUGACUCUGCAGCCUGCAUGCACGGCGCUUGUGCUGAACAUCUCAGAGCACAUUAAAUGGUUCAGCAGCAGGAGGAGAAGAAAACACGGAGAGCUGUGGGUGCCCCAUCCCUGGAGGCGCCCGAGGCUGUGGAUGGGCCCUGGGCAGCCUGAGCUGCGGGGGCAGCCAGCCCAUGGCGGGGGUUGGAGCUGGAUGGUCUUUGAGGUCCCUCUCCAAGGAGGAGAUUCCACAACCUCUCCGGUCCCCGUGCCAGAGUUUCGUGACAUCUUUCCCAUAUGGAGGCGGAAUCGUUGGAGGGGUAGAUGGAGCCGAUGAUGAAACCCAUCCAAGAGCCUGAUGACAGCUGGGAGGUGCUGACCCUGCCAACAUGCAGAUGGAUGCAAUGAACCAAACCCAUGUCCCACUGCCACAGCAGUGGGUCACAAGGAAUCAGCAGCACUUGGGGGCAGUAGCACAGCUUCACCUGGCCUCUCCUCCUCCAUGAAGACGAACUCAGCUCGUUUUCUUUCAGAAGAUAGAGAAAGAAAAAAAAAAGAGGCAAAGCAAACACCUCGGCCUUUGUUUGGGCAGAAAACAGCCGCAGCCCACUCAGAUGGAAUUUAUUUUGCGCUCGCAACGAACUCCUUGUGCAAUGGAGGGGCUGGAACUGUGGCCGGAGAGAGGGGCUCAAGAGGAAUGGACUCAUGUGGUCUCAGUGCAAUGGGAUGAGGCACGUUCUCUUUGCUGAAGUGUACUUUUUGCUGCCGUUGGCAUUUAUCAGCAUGGUGAGGGCUGGAAAAGCCGAAUAAUCGAAUGAUUUGGGUUGGAAGGGACCUCAAAGGUCACACAGU